ACGUAGGCACCAAGCGUUGUCCGGAUUUAUUGGGCGUAAAGAGCUCGUAGGCGGUUCAGUAAGUCGGGUGUGAAAACUCUGGGCUUAACCCAGAGACGCCACUCGAUACUACUGUGACUAGAGUUCGGUAGGGGAGCGGGGAAUUCCUAGUGUAGCGGUGAAAUGCGCAGAUAUUAGGAGGAACACCGGUGGCGAAGGCGCCGCUCUGGGCCGAUACUGACGCUGAGGAGCGAAAGCGUGGGUAGCAAACAGGAUUAGAUACCCUGGUAGUCCACGCCGUAAACGGUGGGCACUAGGUGUGGGCUCCAACCAACGGAGUCCGCGCCGUCGCUAACGCAUUAAGUGCCCCGCCUGGGGAGUACGGCCGCAAGGUUA
rnacentral:rRNA from 1 species